AUACGGAGGGAGCAAGCGUUAUUCGGAAUCACUGGGCGUAAAGGACGCGUAGGCGGGUUUGUAAGUCAGGUGUGAAAUCCUACAGCUCAACUGUAGAACUGCACUUGAAACUACAGACCUAGAGUAUGUAAGGGGCAGAUGGAAUUAGUGGUGUAGGGGUAAAAUCCGUAGAUAUCACUAGGAAUACCGAAAGCGAAGGCGAUCUGCUGGAACAUAACUGACGCUAAGGCGUGAAAGCGUGGGGAGCAAACAGAAUUAGAUACCCUAGUAGUCC
rnacentral:rRNA from 1 species